UAGGGAAUCUUCCGCAAUGGCCGAAAGUCUGACGGAGCAACGCCGCGUGAGCGAAGAAGGUCUUCGGAUCGUAAAGCUCUGUUGUUAGGGAAGAACAAGUAUCGGAGGAAAUGCCGGUACCUUGACGGUACCUGAUGAGAAAGCCACGGCUAACUACGUGCCAGCAGCCGCGGUAAUACGUAGGCGGCAAGCGUUGUCCGGAAUUAUUGGGCGUAAAGCGCGCGCAGGCGGUCCUUUAAGUCUGAUGUGAAAUCUUGCGGCUCAACCGCAAGCGGUCAUUGGAAACUGGGGGACUUGAGUGCAGAAGAGGAAAGCGGAAUUCCACGUGUAGCGGUGAAAUGCGUAGAGAUGUGGAGGAACACCAGUGGCGAAGGCGGCUUUCUGGUCUGUAACUGACGCUGAGGCGCGAAAGCGUGGGGAGCAAACAG
rnacentral:rRNA from 1 species